GGGCCAAAGGGAGUAGAGAUUGCCUUCUGCGCGUACCCGACUCUGCUCGCCUCCGCCUCCAGGAUGUGGGGGAUGGGAGGCGACCCUCCACGACCCUCUCCCCACCCAGCCCAGAAAGCUGAACUGGCAAGAGGUCUGUUUUGCCUGAACCCAUCAACAACUGGGAGAUUAAUCAACCACACUGAAAAUGGGGAGAGGAAAGGGAGGAGUUGGAAUGUAGAUGUUUGAAACAAAUGUGUAUAAAUAAAUGAAUUUUUGA